UUUGCAUCUAUAAAAAAGAGUCAGUGCUGAACAGUGUGGAUUUGUGAUAGCAAGGAAAGAGAAAUAAAAUGCAGGCGAGUAAUAAGAAUAUAAAUAUCACUAUGUAUACAAAGGCUGUGGAGGUAUCCCAGCAACUGCAGGAUGGAGAGAAGUUUAUCAAGUGGGACGAGGAUUCUGGAAUGGCAACGCCAGUGACUUUGAAAGUUGAUAAAUAUGGUUUUUACUUACAUUGGGUGGAUCAAAAUAAUGAAAUGGAUAUGCUGGACAUAGCAAUUAUAAGAGAUACACGAACAGGAAAAUAUGCAAAAAUACCAAAGGAUCCAAAAUUACAAUCUUUAGUAACAAUGGGUUCUCAAGAUUCCUUGGAAGACAAAACUUUAACAAUUUGUUAUGGCUCUGACUUUGUCAAUUUAAAUUUUAUUAAUUUUUGCACAACACGUGCAGAAAUAGCACAACAUUGGACAGAACAGCUUUUUCAACUAGCAUAUAAUUUGAUUCAACUAAAUACUAGCACAACUAUGUUUUUACUCAAAGCGCACACCAAACUGACACUUACAGCUGAUAAAUCAGAAAAAAUACCAGUAAAGAAUAUAAUAAAAAUGUUUACGCAAAACAAAGAAGAUCGCAAGCGUGUUGAAAAAGCACUCGAUAUUUCUGGCUUUCCAUCUGGCAAAAGCGACGUUAUACCAUUGUCAAAAUUCCAAUUUGAAGAUUUUUUCAACUUUUACAAAUCUCUCACUCAGAGAUCAGAUGUAGAAAAAGUAUUUGAAGGGAUUGUUGGCAAUAGCAAACGCAGAUUGAUGUCUGUUGCACAAUUCGUGGAUUUCUUGAACAAGACACAGAGAGAUCCACGUCUCAAUGAGAUACUAUAUCCAUAUGCAAAUGAAGCGAGGGCAAAAGAUAUUAUAAAUCAGUAUGAACCUAACAAAUGUAAUGCAAAUAAAGGCCAACUCAGUUUUGAUGGAUUUUUGAGAUAUCUCAUGAGUGAGGACAAUCCGAUUGUUGCUAUCUCUAAAUUUGAAUUGUCCGACGAUAUGGAUCAAUCGCUGGCACAUUAUUUCAUAAAUUCUAGUCACAACACAUACUUAACAGGGCAUCAACUCACUGGAAGGAGCUCUGUGGAAAUUUACCGUCAAUGUCUUUUAGCUGGUUGCCGAUGCGUCGAACUAGACUUUUGGAAUGGCAAGUUCGAUGAACCUGUUAUUGUUCACGGAUAUACAUUUGUACCUGAAAUAAAUGCUCGAGAUGUGAUAGAGGCAAUUGCUGAGAGCGCUUUUAAAACUUCUGAAUAUCCGGUCAUUCUCAGUUUCGAAAACCAUUGUAAUCCAAGGCAGCAAGCCAAAAUCGCUCAGUACUGUAGAGAACUUUUCGGGGAAAUGUUACUUGAUGCACCACUCGAAUCGCACAAGUUAGAGCCAGGUCAAGAGCUCCCACCGCCAUCAUUACUAAAGCGCAAAAUAAUAAUAAAAAAUAAGAAAAAACAUCACCAUCAUCAUAAAAAACAUCAGAAAAAGCAAUUAAAUACUGCUAAAGAUACUCCCGAGAAUGAAACAAAUGGGACUGCGAAUCCAUCCGCUGUGGGAGAAAACGGUCCACCGCCGGAUAUAAUACCUCAAAAUGAAAUGGCUGAUGAUGUUGCACCUGAAAAUGAACAGCAAAUUGGGAAUGGCGAUAUUCCUCAUCCUCCCAUGUUACAACAAAGACAGGGUAGUAAAGAUAGUGCUCAAGAUGAUGAAGACGAUGAAGAUGAAACGAGUACAGAAGAGGAUGAGUCUAAUGUGGAAUUGAGAAUGGGCGACAAAGGAUCUGCACCAGAUAAGCCAUCCGCGGCCAAAGAGACAGAGGCAGGUGCCGAAAUUUCUGCUUUAGUUAAUUACGUGCAGCCUGUACACUUCAACAGCUUUGAAUCGGCUGAAAAAAAGAAUCGUAUGUACGAAAUGUCAUCUUUUGACGAGAAACAAGCUACGACUCUCUUGAAGGAGAAACCACUAGAAUUUGUAAAUUACAACAAACAUCAAUUAUCCAGAGUUUAUCCAGCAGGAACGCGAUUCGAUUCUAGUAAUUUCAUGCCACAAGUAUUUUGGAAUGCGGGCUGUCAGCUAGUUGCAUUAAAUUAUCAAACACUUGACCUGGCGAUGCAAUUAAAUUUGGGAAUAUUUGAAUACAAUCAACGUUGCGGUUACCUGUUGAAACCGGAAUUUAUGAGAAGAAAAGAUCGGCGAUUAGAUCCUUUCGCCGAAUCUACCGUUGACGGUAUUAUUGCGGGAACUGUUCACAUUCAUGUGAUAUCUGCGCAAUUUUUAACCGACAAAAGAGUAGGCACUUAUGUAGAAGUGGAUAUGUAUGGUUUACCGGCGGAUACCGUAAGAAAAAAAUUCCGCACAAAAAUCGUGCCGAAUAACGGUAUUAAUCCCGUAUAUGAUGAAGAACCAUUCAUAUUUAAAAAGGUAGUUUUGCCGGAACUUGCCUCGAUAAGGAUUGCCGCAUAUGAAGAUUCCGGACGUUUAAUCGGUCACAGGGUACUACCCGUAGUCGGAUUAUGCCCAGGAUAUAGACAUGUAGCACUAAGAAAUGAAUGUGGGCAACCGCUACCAUUAGCAAGUCUAUUUUUAAACGUUAUCGUAAAGGAUUACGUUCCUGAUGGUUUGAGCGAGCUUGCCGAAGCUUUAGCGAAUCCUAUCAAGUAUCAGAGCGAAAUCGAGAAGAGAGAGAAUCAACUGUUAGUUCUUACGGAUUGUUUGGAGGCUCCAGAAGAAAUUGAAGAUAAGUGUAAAGUUAGCGAUGCUCCUAGUUCUGCUAAGCCAGCUGAGGAAGUUGUAAAGGCUAAACGAAUGCAGUCUAUGGGUGAAUUACCAGGUCUUGUACCUCCUUCCAGCAGUUUACAUAGUAGACCAUCUAUUGGUGGCUUAGGUAGUUCGGAUACAGUGGAUGUAGAAGACGACACUCCAAGUCCUGCAGUUCAAGCAGUUGAGACAUCUAUAAAUAAAAGUCCAGUCAAUGCUAGCAAUAUAAGUGACGAAAUAGUGGCUGAAAGUUUAGAGAAACUCAUGGAAAAUAAAUUAGUCAGGGAGAAGAAGAUAGAACUCGAGAAGAAACUUGAAUCUCUAAGGAAAAAGCAUGAGAAAGAAAAAAUGCGAAUGCAAUCGCAAAAAGGUUCGCUCGAUGGCGAGAAGCAUAAAUCGAAAUUCUACAUGAGCAAUAAAUUGGUGAAGCGGCUAUCAAGCAAAAAUAUUAGCUUUUCGAGCGAAGUGGGUUUAAGUACCUUAGCUAUAGCUGAGUCUUCUGAGUACUCAGAGAACACAGAGAAUCGCGAGGGAAAUGAUGGGGCGUCCAGAGGUUUGCCUAGAAGUCAAAGCGAACGAUUUUUGGCCAUAUGUAAGGUGCAUGUUCAACAGGAACGUGAACUUCAAGAAAAAUAUUACGAGAAUCUUUUUACGACUGCCGAAAAAGUGAUGAAAGCAUCGCAGGCCAAUCAAUUGAAAAUGCUUCAAGUACUUUUAGAGAGAGAAACCGCCGAUGUUAAACGAAAACUGCAGGCUACAAGACAAGGCGAGAUCAAACAAUUAGCCAAAGUACAUAAAGAUAAAGCCGAGCUGGAACGCAUAAAACGAGAAGUUGCAAAAUCGACCGUAGAGAAAGCUGUGAACGAAUGCACGCGCUUAACAAAAAUUUUCGAUAAGAAGAGAGCGGAGUUGGAAAGACAACAUGAAGAAGUACGGCAAAGGCUGGAAGAAGAGCGAGCCAAGGUAAAAGCUAAUUUGCUAGCAGAGUAUAGUAGUCGCUAUAGUAAAUACGAAAGUGGUGAGUUACCCUUAUCACCAUCUGGCGGAGCUAGUUUACCAGAAUCACUUAGCGAAAAUACGUAUUGACUCGCGAAACGGAUCAUCUAGCUAUGUGUUAACUAAAGGGGUGACAUCAUUCAUGAUGUUUUACGCCAUUAUAUGCGUCGUUUAAAAUCCAGUUAUGGAACUCGAUAUACGGAACGUCGCGAUUUGUAAUGAGAGGAAGGGAGUGGGAAAGAAGAAAUCGGAUAUUAUAUAUAAAUGCAAUAUUUCUUCAACAUAUAAGAAUAUGAAUUCAUAUAAGAAAAUGAACCAAUAACGACUAAUGAACUGUUUGUAUACAGUGCUUAUCUAUAGCUAUUUGUGGCAAUGAUUUUUGCCAUCCCUUAUUGGAGAUGUCAAUAUGAAGACGUUGAUGUUGUAUCAAGGAAUCGUAUGAUUUAAGGCAACUUGAUGCUACAUAAAGCACAAGUACUAUAUAUAUACAUACUGAACUUUUACCAUUUAAUACUUUGGAGAGAUUAGAUGUCGAAUAAUGGAUUGAGGUAAUUUUCUAAUACUUCAAUGCUGUGUCUUUUACUACAAUGAUCAUUAUUCGAUUGAUGCGUUAAUUGCAUACAUGUUGAUCAAUUUUUUAAUUGAUCGUGUCUGGCUAGGUACAUGGAAACACUAUGUCAUGAUCUCUUUACAAUAAAACGGCUGCUUAUAAUAAUAUGAAAGAAAAAGAGACAACUUUAAUAUGAACAUGAUGAAUAUGAAUUUUGCAUUAUUUGCACACAGUAUUAAGCAGUCUGAGAGAUUCCGAAAUCUAAGUCGCUGACAUGAUACAAUUCGGUUACAUAUUCGUAUGAUCUUAACGAGCAUUAAGACCGCGAUAGAUAAGCGUAUGAGAAGUAUAUAUAUACAUAUAUAUAUAUAUAUAUAUAUAUAUAUAUAUAUAUAAUAAAUAAGAGAAAAAGAAUAUACAACCUUCCUAAGUGCUAACAUUUAAUAUUGUUGUUAUAUGCAUAAGUCAUCGUUAUUUAAUCAACUACAUAUAAAUUAAGUCUAAUCGCGUUCCAAGAUGCUCUGUUUAGAUUGAUCUUCGAUUAUUAAGAAGUCAGAUCUCAGGAGAUUCCAGUCAGAAUAACACGAGAGAUACAUAUACAACUGAGAGGGCGAAAUCUCUUUGGCCUAGAAAAGAAAAAUUCGACAAAUUUGCACGAACGCGCGAGUGAUCUGAUAUAUUUUUGACUGAAAGUACUCCGUAUAUAAACUUUUUUUUUUUGGAGGAGAUGCCCGUACUGUGGCAAAAACCGUGAUAUUUUCUUGCCGAAGGCACGAGAAUGUCUCGAUAUCUCAUUACAAUAGGAUCCGGUUAAUUGAUUAUUCUAUUCUCUACAUAUACAUUUUUUCAUUAAUACUAAUGUCAUAUAAUGUCAUAAUAAUAGAUAUAAAGGUAGAUUCAAUAUUGACUAUGUAUAUUUUUCUCAAGAGAAAGAGAAAAUUAUGAAUUAUUUUUUUUUUAUUUUUACAAAUUGGAUUAAUCUUUUAUAAAAAAUGCAUAAAGUUUAUUUUUUUUUUUUUUUAGUGGAGAGAGUGUUUCCAAUUUGGAAGAGUUAUCUCGCAUAUAUUUAUAUUUAGAGAAAUAGAGAGAUAUUGUUUCUCUUCUUUAUUCAUUUAUAUAUGCGAUAUAAUUAUGAUAGAUUACGUGAGGGGGCGCGCGCAAUCGUACUGUAUUUGCGCAACUACAUUCGCGCAAGUAUAUGGCGAUUUGUUGUGAUUGUUGAAUCGCGCGCGGCGGUAUAAGUACUUUUCUUUUUUAAAAGUUUUCCGCUUUUCUAGCCGGAUUCUACUGUAUGUAGAUCGAUUCUUCGUAUUAUCUUCGUAUCACGAGCAGUCCGGUCGGGCGAACCUCUUUGAGGAAGACAAUCAAAAAUGUUACGAGACGAUAAUGCGCAUCCCGUAUACUUAAAAGAAUGAUGGAUCCUGAAGUAAUAUCCCGUGCACCUCCUUCUGAUGUAAUGAUAUUUGGUUUGCUGUAGAUGUAAAAGGUAUGACAUUUGGUUCUCAUUUUAAAUAGUCAUAAUAUGUCGCGUUUUUUGAGAUAGUAGCUAAUAUAUAUGUACAUAUAUUUCCGGUAAAUUUAGAGAUUCACAUAAACGCAUAUACAUAUAUAUACAUGCGCGCUCGCGCACGGGGAACCAGAGAGAAUGCAGUUACCAUUUCUUAGACGAUGCCAAUUAUCAUGAUAGCAUUUCUUCCGCAAAUGAAAUUACCGAUCGUUCGCGAAGUUAUAGAAUGUUCCGUGGCGAAAGCGACUGAUUUUAUCCGAUCACGGGGAUUGAUGGUAGAGAUAGUUGUAUACCUAACGAUAAUACAGACGCGAUAUUUAAGGCAAUAUAUUUGUAACUCUAUCCAGUAUGUCUGGAACUUAUGUGAGGAAAUCGAUAGCGUUUGUUCGUAUACUGUAUUAAUCGUAUGCGUGUAAGUGUCGAUAUUUUGCGAGAUUGGGCAGAUUGUUGCGUUAAGUACGCAAUCCUUCGCGACAUCAAAAAGAUGGUAAUAUAAUAUAAUAGAGGAAAUUGAUUAAACGAUGUAUAAAUUCUAUUCAGUUUGCGGGAUUUUUAUUUCGUUUAUUAAUAACAUAUGAUCUUCCUUUGCAUAGUGAUACUUAUUUCGUGUUUUCCUUCGAAAAUGUUAAUUUAUUAUAUAUUUUAUUAUAAAUGUGUUUCGUCUUUCUUCGAAAAAAAUCACUUCCUUAUUUUAAUAUAAUAAUUUUGCUUGGCGAAUGUACCCCGCGCGUUUAAUAGAAAAUCUUGAGUUUUAUCUCUCAUAUCGCGAAGCGCAUGAACAUUUAGAAUGUAUAUUUUGAUUAUCUAAACUACAUCUAGUUAGGAAAGAUAUUGAUAUGCAUACGAGAUAAUUGGAAUGUGAGAGAUAAGAGAGUGAACGAGUAGAAUGCCAAUGAUAUUUCCAAUUAUACUUACUCUUCCAAUUAUAUUUUCUCUUAUGUUCCUUAAUAGUAUUUAUUCGAAUUUUAUGUCGAGCUUUAUUAUCUCCGUUAUCUAAUUGAGGAAUUGGAAAUCGUUUGUUCCCUAUUAAUCUGAAUCUGAAAUAUCUAUGGGGUAAAAAUCUGGAUAUUACAAGUGAUUAUGAAACUCACCUUUCUCUUGCUAUUGUCUUUCAUAUUAUUUAAAUUUUUGCUUGAAGUUCAUUCGUUUUUCAAACUACGUACAAUUAUUUAUACUGUUUUAUAUCCAAUUCCUCAAUUACAGUCGUUUCGCGGAUAGUGUGAUCUACCUGUGCAUUUAUGUCUUUCAUUUAGAUCAAAUUUCAAGUUUAAUGUGUGUAUUUUGUCAAAGAUCUUUUUCUGAAUAUUAUAUAUAGAUGGAUUAUUACAUACUUUCUUAAGACAUGUGAUCGACAUCAUAUUCUCUUCCUACAUUCGUGUAACGUACAUAUAUAUAUAUAUAUAUAUAUAUAUAUAUAUAUAUAUAUAUAUAUAUAUAUACGCGUAUAUGUAUGUACACAUUAUACGCGCAUAUAUACAUAAGUAUAUUUACAUUAACGGGACAUAGAUAUUAUAUUCAUGUUGAUAUAUUAUGUGUUGUUGCUGUUGAUGUUGUUAAUCGUAGGAUAUAGUCAUAAAGAUGAAAAUAGUAGCGUUAACAUAAUCGUUGUUAAUAUAGGAAGUACGGGGGAAGGGGAAAAGGGAAAAGAAACACAAGGGUUCUCUACGUUACUUACGACGAACACGUUCGCACGCGGAUUAUUAAUCACGCAUUAUCGAUUUAUUUUCGCGGAUGCGUGCGUCGCAAUGUUACCAAUUUGUACCUGCGAUAUUAUCUGUCUUGACCGCACUAGCGUUGAUUAAUGUUAUUCUAGAUAUUCUGCUUUGAAUGAAGGACUCCUAAUUCGAAGAUUACUUUUAGCAUUAGCUUUUUAGAAUUCUGUGUGAUGCUUCACGCUAAAGUGGUUGAGUCUAGCGACGAGUAUCUCCGGAGAUGCUAUACGAGCUUCUCGAGAGAUUUGCCAAAUAGAUAUUUAAAGAAGACGCUCAGCAUCGAAGAUCUCUGUAACGGACGUGUUUGUCGUUCUAGAAUAAACGUGUGAAGACGCGCAGGCGUAUUAUAUUAAAAUAAGGUAUGUGUAGUUUGAAACGGCCUACAAACUAUCGUAGUGAUUUGGCUCAGCUAUAUGAUAUUGUUCUAUUGUUUUGAAAGUAUUGCAUUCGUCGUACUUGUCGAGGUUCAAAUUGUAGCGUCUAAACAUCCGCCGCUGUUACACAAUUCCUGUCGAAAUUAAUUAUAAGCAUAAUAUUAUCCGCAGCAGGCUUAUCUGAGGAUCUUUUGCUAUUUAUCUCUUUCUUUCUAUAUAUAUAUAUAUAUAUAUAUAUAUAUAUAUAUAUAUCGCGUCCAUCCUUCGAGUUCACUGUAAUGAGGAUCUCCUAACAACGAUUCUUCGUACCUAACCGUAUUCCUCGAUCUUGCGUCCUUCUUUGAUCCUCUUUGAAUCUCUUCUUUUUACUCUUAAGAGAGUUUUUCAAGUAUAUGAAGAAAUGGCGAUCGAUUAGGCUACACCGAUAUUAUGUAUGAAGAUAUUAGAAUUUUAUUGUUGCGCAGUGUUUUUGAAUUACCUAUCAGUUUUCGCAGCGACAUUAUUGCCAAUUUUCAAUCGACAAUGAAAUAGCGUAACUCGAUUUACAUAAGAUGCAACGACGAUAUUCUUAUGGAUCUAUAAAACUUUGUGUUGUUGAUCUGAGUUGGAGAACUUUUUAUUCCGAGUAAUAACUUAUGACGCUGCACGGUGGCAGUCGGUAGAGCAUCUUGAUUUAUUUUGCGUAAAAUGCGAAUGUUAAACGCACUUGAGUGCGUUAAACACAGCGCGAGUCUUGACAAUUCCGUAUCCGCUUCGUAAUCGAGAGCACGAUUAUCGAGAUUGUAAUGUGGCUACAUUGUAGAAAUUUUGCGUUGUAGAUGGUUUACUCGCUAGAUAUAGCUAUAUGAGUGUGACUAUUUAUAAUAACGAAAAAGGAGAAAAAUGCGUCAAGAAAAAAAAGGAGAAAGAUAGCGCGCGAGGAGGAAAAAAAACAAACUUAUGGAAACGAUUGUAAUUGUAACGAUUGAUAACGCGAAUGUACAAAUGCCUAACGGUAUUGUACGCACAAUAGAAUAUGUAUAUGCAGAUGUUAUCUACAUUAUGUAUCGGGAGUGUAAUUGCAUCCCGUGCAAAUGAUUUUGUCUUCCCUCUUAAGCUUACUUGCAAUAACUCGAUUUACUGUGGGAAUUUCAUUAUUCUUAGCGUUCUCGAUGAUUCUACGUUUGAUCAUCUCAUCUACGUUGACUUAUCUUUAUAAUGCAAUAUAACGAGUCUGAUUUCUCGGUUAUAUGUCAUUUCGUCAUUUUUUAAUCGGCGAUUAGUUCCGUUUGUCAUCAAUCGCGUAUUUCCGUUUUGUAAGCGAGAGAUUAUAAUAAUUUGUUGUGUUCACAUUA